CUUGCCGUUGGGAAAUUUAGAAUGCUAUUUACCGGGAUUCUGCUGUUUCACUUUUCUACUCUUUUUAACCCUAUCUCUCUCCAUCGUUCUUCCCCUCCAAUCUGUGGAAUCCGACGCCGACCGAUUGCUGUAAAAUAUCUCUACAUACUGUUGUAAGUUAAUCACAAGUAUGAUGUGGUGAAAUAAUGUAUGGCAGAUCCAUUCGGUAAUUAUGAAGCCAAUACUCACCAAGUUUGGUUGUUUUUUGUCUGUGAUAACGUUUUAGGUUUCCAAUUGGAGCAUAUGGAUUAUAGUCAUUCAAAAUUCUACUACUAUUUAGUUUCUGAUUAGAUUUUUUUAUUUGUUUGUGAAUGGGAAGGGGAGGCAGUUGUUGAUGCUCACAACUGGAGAAAUGCGUAUUUUCUGCAAGAUAUUUGGAACAUAGUAGGAUAAGAGAAGUGGAUGAUUGCAGAAUCAGGGACAAGCACGAAUAGAAGAGUCGAAUGAGUCAGAUGACAUAGGUAGCCUCUUCCUUCACUUUCAAUUUAAAUAUAAAUUUUGCAAAAAGGACAGCAUACACCAGCUCUGAGAAUUUAUCAUCAUCUUGUUCUUCAUAUUUCAUACAGUACAACUCUUCAUAUUUUCGUGUAAUCUAUCUUGUUCUUCAUAUUUCACAUUCUCUUUGAUUAAUAUUAUUAUGAGGUUUGAAAAUGUCUAAUGAACCUUCAAUGUUUCCAGUUGUUCAGCUAGAUGGAAAUUAUAUUACAUAUAAGGAAUGUAAGAAAAUAGCUCUCUCUGUUCUAGUAUUUGAACUCAGCCCAAGACCUGAAACUUGAACUGUUAGUUUUCUAAUUUACUCAUUCUUGUAUGUUCUUAUAUUAGUUAUAUAUUAUAAUCGAGAAAAAUUUUUUUUGUUGUAGGACACUUUAAACAUUCCAUAAAAGGGGUUGUUUUUUAAUAGUUUCCCACAAAGGGAGUGACGCAUGAUAGACAUGUGUUUCUGUUAAUGAAGCGCAAGACGAAGAUGCGUUUUCAGUGUAAGACGCAUGUAAUAUAUGCGUCUAUAAGACGACGCAUAACUUUUAUACGUUUUAGGCUAAAGACGCAUGAUACUCAUGCGUUUUUCUGAGGGACUCAUGUUGCUCAUGUGUCUUUCAACGAAAAUAAAAUCCUCCAAAACAAAACAUAACAGAACCGAGAGAGAGAGGCAGCACGCAGCAGGGAGGUUCAGGCGAUUUUCCGACGAAUCCGACAAUUGUGGUCAUUUUCUUCAAUAUUCUGGUAUUCCUCCCUUAUUUUGUGUAGGUUUUCCCCAAUUUUAUAAGUUAGGGUUCAUUUUGUGUAGGUUUUCCCCAAUUUUAUAAGUUAGGGUUUAAUUUAAAAUUGCUCAAUUUGGUCCAAUGAUUUGUUGUUUCGUUAAUUUUAAUGGCUUUUAUAUACAUUGUUCAUUGUUAAUUGCUCCAUUAGUUGUUGUUUUGUUAAGUUAUGGAGAGUUCAUGAAAGUGUUGUUGUGACUUUGAUAGGUUUGUCAAUAUUCAUCCUAUUAUAUUGUGAUAAUGUUGAAUUAGAUGUGGGUAUAUUAUUUUCUUGUUGGAAUGUUGAAUUAUGUGAAAUAACUUUGCAAAGUUAGAUGUCAGUUUAACUUCUAGUAAAAAUUAUAUAUGAAUUUAGAUGUUAAAUAGUUUUGUAAAAUUAGAGAGGUGAAAUUCUAAUUUAUAAUGUCUAAUUGUUGUGGAUAUGAGUCGACAAGGGGUGUAGGUCAUCAAUUGAAUUAUAAUAUUGUGUGAUAUUAAUGUUGAAUUUGAAAUUAUAUAUUUUAUUUCUAAAAUUUAUAUUAGAUGUGAAUUUGAAAUUAUAUGGUUUAUAUGUUGAUAUUGUAUAGAUGUGAUAAAGCUCGUUUCAUGCAUUGGUUUUUGGGUUAAAUUCUGUGUUUUUGGAACACUAAUGAAUCUUUCUAAGUUCAGGUGCAUAAUAAAUCUGUCGGACCCUGUAGUUUGUGUUAAUUGACCUGGCAGAUGUAAAAGAGAUGAAUUUUGAAGUGAAACAUCAGAAGUCGUCGCUCGGACUUAGGAGAAUCAAGAAGUUGGCGACAUGAGCAGAAUGGAGCAAGAGCAGACUUUAAAAGAUCUUAUUCAGGGGCACAAGCGUAAAUUCACCAAGAAGAUGCCCUAGGGAUCAGAGCCUUACCUAUAUAAAGAGCUCAACAUUGAAGAAUGGAGAUAUCACUUGAGGGAGGCAUCUAGCAUAACUUCAGCUCACUCACUUAGCUCCACACUUCAAACACGUUUCAGUUGCUGUGUACUUGGAUAUGGGGUGAAUUCUGGCUACCGUUGUGGUUUUAGUCCUUUUGCUGUUGUGUAACACCACCCUGCGUGGGCGAAGAAACAAUAUUUUACCUUGCUUUGUUUAGUUCUCGUUUUAAGUACUUGUCGGUUUUUAGCUUAGUAGUUUCUGUUUCUGACUCGGAUCUACUGGAAUCAAGCUUAGUUCUAAAUAUUAUGGAAGUUUCUGUUGAUUUUUGUUGGA